CGACGCCAUACUCUGUUGAAAGUGCCGCUACACAAAAGAAGCAAUCAUGGACAUGUCAUCCAAUGAGCAUGACAAUUACGAACAAAGCAGUCCGAAUGAUAGGUAUGGUGGAACUACGGAACGUUACAACCAGGACAACGAUAGGUCACCAGAAAGAUCACGGUCACGUUCUCCCCUUAGACGCUCAGGGUCGAGAUCACCAAGAAGAGACAGCAGGGACAGACCAAGACGCAUUAAUCUCAUUUCCAAACGUUGCAUCAUCAGCAAUGUUCCUUAUGAAAUGAAGUGGCAGGACAUCAAAGAUAUAUUCAGAAAAGAAGUUGGAGAAGUGUCUUAUGUAGAAAUGUGGGAGAACCCAGACGGAAAGUCCAGAGGAGCAGGUAUAAUCGAGUUCAAGGAUAAAGACACAGCAAGGAAAGCAAUUGAAGUAAUGCACCGGUACAAGAUGAAGGACAGGAACAUCGUCGUAAGAGAGGAGAGGGAGAGUGACCAGAACCAAAUAGGAGCAGCAAGAGGAGGCAGUGGUGGAGGGGGUGGCUCAGGCAUGAUGGGCAGUGGGCCAGGAAUGAUGGGAAACAUGGGUGGAGGCAUGAUGGGAAAUAUGGGAGGUGGCGGAGGAAACAUGGGUGUGAGCCAGCAAGUUCUGAACAACUUGGGAAUCGAAGGACCCGUCACCAAUACACUGUUUGUGUCCAACCUAGACUACAAGGUUACCUGGAAGAAAAUGAAAGAUGUAUUCAAACUGGCUGGAAAUGUACUGAGGGCAGAGAUUAAGCUUGACAAGGAUGGGAAGAGCCGAGGAAUAGGAACUGUGGUGUUCGAGUUCCCAAUGGAAGCUCUUCAAGCUAUCUCUAUGUUUAACAACCAGACUUUAUUUGACCGACCAAUGAGAGUGAAGAUGGACACUCCACCAGGUGGUUCUUCUGGCGGCAGAUCAUCUCAACAAGUUCAGCUGCCAAGUGGACUGAAGUCUGUAGGAAUGGGUCUUGGUGCAGGCGGACAGCCACUCCAGAAUAUUGGACAGAUGAGUUCCGGGGGUGGUUUUGGAAUGGGCGGGGGGUCCAUGGGGAUGAGUGGCAAUAAUAUGGGUAUGGGUGGUGGUAACAUGGGUAUGGGUGGUGGUAUGGGAAUGGGAGGUGGCAUGGAUAAUAAUAUGGUUGGUAUGGGAGGCAGCAUGGGCACUGGGAUGUCUGGGAUGGGUGGUAUGGGCUCAAAUAUGGGAAUGUCUGGAAACAUGGGGUCAGGCAUGAGUAGUAACAUGGGAAUGGGCAUGGGCACAGGCAUGGGUGGCACUGGUAACCUAGGCUCCAACAUGGGUAUGUCCGGUGGCAUGAAUGACAACUUCUCCAGCAGCAUGGUGUCUGGAGGCAUGGGCAACACUGGAUAUGGUACCAACACUGGUAUGGGCACAAACCUAGGGGAUCAGCUUCGCAACAUGGGCAGCAAUAUGGGAAGCAGUAGUUACAACACCGGCAUGAUGGAUUCUAUGGGCAGUUCCUCAGGCAAUAUUGGCAGCAAUAGCUACAAUUCAAUGGGUAGCUCCUUCAGCUCUUCUGACCGAUCCAGUCAGCGGGACCGUGACCGCAGUGGAGACAGAGGUGAUCGUGGGGGUAGGAACUUGGGCACUCGGCCAGACAACUGUACAGUGGUCGUGAAAAAUCUUCCCUGGUCACUCACAUGGCAAUCUCUGAGAGACAAAUUUAGGACAUGUGCUGAUGUGAAGUAUGCCGAAAUUAAGAUGGAGAAUGGUAAAUCUCAAGGCUGGGGACUCGUUAGAUUUGGCUCCGCUGAAGAUGCUCAAAGAGCAAUCUCUGCUAUGAACCGGACCCGAGUAGACGGACGGGAAAUUGAUGUGAAGCUCUACCGCUAAAUGACGGCAUUACUCUGACAGGAGUCCUGUAUUUAUGAUGAUGUGCCUGGAGGUCGGAUAAGGACGUCCCCUACAGCAGCACUAACAGAAGAUUACCUACAGUGAACUUGUCUUUUAUGAUGUGAUCUACCCAGUGUUUCAUCACAACAAGACUGCAAAUACAGUACAUACAAGUCAUUGAACCACAUGGUUUUCUGAAUCGGUUGGACCAAGAAGGAUUCAUGAGGGGCCUUUGAAUGGUGGACCAGUUGGAAUAUUAAAAAUAUGUCUUGUAAUUAGACAAAAAUGCUGAAAAAAUCAGCUGAUAAACAUUUAGACCUUGUACUAGGUGCCUUAUGGAAAACAUGAUGAACAUUUAGACAUUGCAAUAAGUUGUGGUGGAUACCAUCUUGGAUGUUUUUGCAUUGUACCAGGUGUCUCAUGGGAAAGGUGAUUAACAUUGUACUAAUGGUCUUGUGGAAGAAAGAUUAAUUUAUGUAUUGGCAGUAUAAAUUUUGUCCAGAACAAUUAUAGCAUGAAGAGUUGUCAAAACGUUCAUAAAUCU